rnacentral:rRNA from 1 species
CAUGCAUGUCUAAGUAUAAGCACUUUAUACUGUGAAACUGCGAAUGGCUCAUUAAAUCAGUUAUCGUUUAUUUGAUAGUACCUUACUACAUGGAUACCUGUGGUAAUUCUAGAGCUAAUACAUGCUAAAAACCCCGACUUCAGGAAGGGGUGUAUUUAUUAGAUAAAAAACCAACGCCCUUCGGGGCUCCUUGGUGAAUCAUAAUAACUUAACGAAUCGCAUGGCCUUGCGCCGGCGAUGGUUCAUUCAAAUUUCUGCCCUAUCAACUUUCGAUGGUAGGAUAGUGGCCUACCAUGGUGGCAACGGGUAACGGGGAAUUAGGGUUCGAUUCCGGAGAGGGAGCCUGAGAAACGGCUACCACAUCCAAGGAAGGCAGCAGGCGCGCAAAUUACCCAAUCCCGAUACGGGGAGGUAGUGACAAUAAAUACUGAUACGGGGCUCUUUUGGGUCUCGUAAUUGGAAUGAGAACAAUUUAAAUCCCUUAACGAGGAACAAUUGGAGGGCAAGUCUGGUGCCAGCAGCCGCGGUAAUUCCAGCUCCAAUAGCGUAUAUUAAAGUUGUUGCAGUUAAAAAGCUCGUAGUUGAACCUUGGGUCUGGCUGGCCGGUCCGCCUCACCGCGAGUACUGUCCGGCUGGACCUUUCCUUCUGGGGAACCUCAUGGCCUUCACUGGCUGUGGGGGGAAUCAGGACUUUUACUGUGAAAAAAUUAGAGUGUUCAAAGCACGCCUUUGCUCGAAUACAUUAGCAUGGAAAUAAUAGAAUAUGACGUGCGGGUUCUAUUUUGUUGGUUUCUAGGACCGCCGUAAUGAUUAAUAGGGAUAGUCGGGGGCGUCAGUAUUCAGCUGUCAGAGGUGAAAUUCUUGGAUUUGCUGAAGACUAACUACUGCGAAAGCAUUCGCCAAGGAUGUUUUCAUUAAUCAGGGAACGAAAGUUAGGGGAUCGAAGACGAUCAGAUACCGUCGUAGUCUUAACCAUAAACUAUGCCGACUAGGGAUCGGACGGGAUUCUAUGAUGACCCGUUCGGCACCUUACGAGAAAUCAAAGUUUUUGGGUUCUGGGGGGAGUAUGGUCGCAAGGCUGAAACUUAAAGGAAUUGACGGAAGA